AACGAACGCUGGCGGCGUGCCUAACACAUGCAAGUCGAACGAGAAAGUUCUUCGGAAUGAGUAGAGUGGCGCACGGGUGAGUAAUGCAUGGGAACGUGCCUUUUAGUGGGGAACAACUGCGGGAAACUGCAGCUAAUACCGCAUGUGAUCUACGGAUCAAAGGGGGCUCGCAAGAGCUCUCGCUAGAAGAUCGGCCCAUGUCCCAUUAGCUUGUUGGCGGGGUAAAAGCCCACCAAGGCUACGAUGGGUAGCUGGUCUGAGAGGAUGAUCAGCCACACUGGAACUGAGACACGGUCCAGACUCCUACGGGAGGCAGCAGUGGGGAAUUUUGCACAAUGGGAGAAAUCCUGAUGCAGCAACGCCGCGUGAGUGAAGAAGGCCUUUGGGUUGUAAAGCUCUUUCAGCCGGGAAAAGGGUGAAUGUGCUAAUACCACAUUUAUUUGAUGGUGCCGGAAGAAGAAGCACCUGCUAACUACGUGCC
rnacentral:rRNA from 1 species